AGUGAACGCUGGCGGUAGGCCUAACACAUGCAAGUCGAACGGCAGCACAGGAGAGCUUGCUCUCUGGGUGGCGAGUGGCGGACGGGUGAGGAAUACAUCGGAAUCUACUCUGUCGUGGGGGAUAACGUAGGGAAACUUACGCUAAUACCGCAUACGACCUACGGGUGAAAGCAGGGGACCUUCGGGCCUUGCGCGAUUGAAUGAGCCGAUGUCGGAUUAGCUAGUUGGCGGGGUAAAGGCCCACCAAGGCGACGAUCCGUAGCUGGUCUGAGAGGAUGAUCAGCCAAACUGGAACGGAGACACGGUCCAGACUCCGACGGGAGGCAGCAGUGGGGAAUAUUGGACAAUGGGCGCAAGCCUGAUCCAGCCAUACCGCGUGGGUGAAGAAGGCCUUCGGGUUGUAAAGCCCUUUUGUUGGGAAAGAAAUCCAGCUGGCUAAUACCCGGUUGGGAUGACGGUACCCAAAGAAUAAGCACCGGCUAACUUCGUGCCAGCAGCCGCAGUAA
rnacentral:rRNA from 1 species